ACAGCUCGUCUGCUCCUGCUGACCUUAUAAAGCCAACAGUUAGUGACUGUGUAUAUAAGGAUUUAAGAGAUUAUCUUACCAGAAUAAGGUCGCUAUGUAGCCAUCCGGUGUAAAUGGCAUUUCUUUCCAUUAACGAAUUGAAGAGUUCAUAAGCACCUGAAAUUAAAUGAUGCCUUAAAAAAAAAAUAAACUAAUAGACUAAAAUUUAGGUUUGCUGACAAGAUCAGGUAUUUUUCAGUUCAGAAACCCACCCAACUGUGGUUUCUGAUUGUGCCAUUCUCACGGGACUUUAAAAUGCUUUUACAAAUUUUUUUUUUUUACUGUCACAUAUUUCUCAUUCCAAUUUUAUAAAUUAAAAAAAAAGAGCUGAAUAACUUACCUAAAGUCACACAGCCAGUUCAUAGCAGAAAUCAAAUAAGAGCUCAAAUUUAAUUAAGCAAUGAAGAAUCUGAUACAGUGUGUCCUUUUCGCUAGGCUGCACUGCCUCCUUAUUUCCCUUAAAAAGUAAUUGUUUGCAUAUCAAUUAAAGUGGUCACAUUGAAAUAGAAAAGAAAGUUGCCAUUAAUUAUCAGCAGGUCCUUUCUUGAAGCAACAAAAUCAAGUUUGUCUUAAAAAAUAAGCUCUGAAAAUAAUGUAUCUAAUAGUUUUAUCUGCAAGUUUAAGCUUUCAUUGUGUUAAUUAAAAUGCCAUAAAUCCUCCUUUCCUAUUACUAAAAUAUUCUUAACCUGGCAGACAAAGCGCCAGAACGCACGUCGGCCGCAACGCACACAAACCCAUCGCUCAGUCUGGGUCCAUUCAUCUUGCCAAGGUCAGUAUCCAGCACUCCCGAAAUUUUCCCUUGUAGAAUGAAUAGAUGUUUAGUAAGGAUUAUCUAUUCAGGCAGAAAAGGGGGUGGGGGGGUGGGGAUGAAACAAGACACAAUCAGCUAUUCAACUGGUGCCGAGCAAAUUCCAAGUAUGAAAUCCUUUGUUUGUUGGUGUCUUGUUUUUCUUACCCACCUUGGACUCCAGUCCACGAGGAGACACGCGCCCUGCGAGGUUUGCCCAGAGCUUUUCCACAGGCCUCCGAGGAGAUGCUGACGUCAGCUUCAGCUUUAUUUUGCAGCUGGGAACGGGAACCCAGAGCUGUCUGUUUGCAUUUCAACACCCUCCUUUUGUUUUCUGUCCCUCCGGAGGCUCAACCCGUUCAAACAGCAGACCUGACCACACCAGAACAACAGGAGACAGCUAUAAAGAAGUGCACACAAAGGCAUUCAGAGCGUUACAUGUUUCACCAUCGUAACCGUGAAAAAUUACCAACAACCAGUAAUGGUGCUUCAAGGAACUAAAGUGGGAUUCAAAACUACACAGAAAAAUAAAAGGACAAAAAUGUUAUGUGCA
rnacentral:lncRNA from 1 species